AUGCUAAGAACCCGAGGAGAAGGGCGAGUGUCUGUCCGCGGCGUUUUGCUCUCUCAGUCCGAUGGCAGUGCUGUUUCUCCUUUUGUUCAGGAAGUGAGAGCGGAACCAGACAGAGAAAGUGGCGGUUUUAGGAGACCCUGCCUGGGGCUGGAGCGGCUGCUAGUGGCCCCUCAUCCUGUCGCACUGGCUCCAGGGGGACCACACGGCCAGAAGGGCCAUGCCUGGGGCCGGGCAGGGAGUCUCUGCUCCAAACCUAUCCUCACUUGGCUUGGUUCCCUCCCUGCGUGUCCUUGACAGGCAAAUACAUCAAAGCAGUUACUUUAAGGUUAGUUCAGCUCAUUAACUCGUUUUACCUUGAUGUGUUCUAAACUCUGUGUGUUUUUGCUUUUUUGUUCUAUGUUAUUAUUUUAAAGAUUUAUUUAUUUAUUCAUUAACUUAUUUAUAUAUUUGAAGCGGGGGGAGAGAGAGAGAGAGAGAGAGAAACACACGCUUCUAUCUGCUGGUUCACUCCCCAGAUGUCUGCAAUACCCAGGACUGGGCCAGGCUGAAUGCAGAAGCCAGGAACUCCAUCUCGGUCUCCCAUGUGGGUAGCAAGAACCCACAUAUUUGAGUCAUCAUCUACCACCCCCCAGGCACAUUAGCAAGGAGCUGGGUUGUAGGCAGAGUAGCUGGGGCUUGAACCAGCACUCCAUUAUAGGACGCAGGCAUCUCAAGUGUUGGCUUAACCCACUAGGCCACAACACCUGCCCCUGUUCUUUUGAUUUCUAAACCACAAACCAAGACACAGCAUAGAUAAGACCAUUAGAAUUAUUCUUUAAAAUCAAUUGCUCUUCUCUGGCCUCAGAAUCAGCCCUAAAGGCACUCGGAUCUGGCUGAAAAGCCCAUGAGAGUAUUUCAGGCAUGGAAAGCCAAGACACUCUGGCAAAAAGAUCUCUGUGAGUGAGAUCCCAGUGGAAAGAACAGGUCUUCAAAGAGGGAGGUGCCUUUCUCUGAAGAGAGGAGAGAACCUCCACUUUGACUAUGACCGUGUCUAAACAAGAUAAGAGUCGGAGAACUCAAGGGGCUUCCAUAGCCUUGGAAACUCAUAACUGGUGCAUAGGGAGAUUACUGAUGCCAUAAACAGGAGUGUCAAUUGGUAAAGUCAACAACAGGAGUCACUGUGCACUUACUCCUCAUGUAGGAUCUCUGUCCUUAACGUGCUGUACACUGAGGCUUAAUGCUAUAACGAGUACUCAAACAGUAUAUUUCACUUUGUGUUUCUAUGGGGGUGCAAACGACUGAAAUCGUUACUUAA
rnacentral:lncRNA from 1 species